GAUUAUGGCUCAGGAUGAACGCUGGCGGCGUGCCUAACACAUGCAAGUCGAACGGGAACCUCAUAGUGGAGACUUCGGUCAAGGCAGUGAGAAUUCUAGUGGCGGAUGGGUGAGUAACGCGUGGGUAACCUGCCUACAAGAAUUGGAUAACAGCGAGAAAUUGUUGCUAAUACAAUAUAAGCUUACAGUAUCGCAUGAUGCAGUGAGAAAAGAUUUAUCGCUUGUAGAUGGACCCGCGUUUGAUUAGCCAGUUGGUGGGGUAGAGGCCUACCAAAGCGACGAUCAAUAGCCGGCCUGAGAGGGUGAACGGCCACAUUGGGACUGAGACACGGCCCAAACUCCUACGGGAGGCAGCAGUGGGGAAUAUUGCACAAUGGGGGAAACCCUGAUGCAGCAACGCCGCGUGAGUGAAGAAGUAUUUCGGUAUGUAAAGCUCUAUCGAUAGGGAAUAAGAUGAAGGUACCUAAGUAAGAAGCCCCGGCUAACUACGUGCCAGCAGCCGC
rnacentral:rRNA from 1 species